rnacentral:rRNA from 1 species
AUUGAACGCUGGCGGCAUGCCUUACACAUGCAAGUCGAACGGCAGCACGGGUGCUUGCCCCUGGUGGCGAGUGGCGAACGGGUGAGUAAUACAUCGGAACAUGUCCUGUAGUGGGGGAUAGCCCGGCGAAAGCCGGAUUAAUACCGCAUACGAUCUACGGAUGACAGCGGGGGACCUUCGGGCCUCGCGCUAUCGGGUUGGCCGAUGGCUGAUUAGCUAGUUGGUGGGGUAAAGGCCUACCAAGGCGACGAUCAGUAGCUGGUCUGAGAGGACGACCAGCCACACUGGGACUGAGACACGGCCCAGACUCCUACGGGAGGCAGCAGUGGGGAAUGUUGGACAAUGGGCGAAAGCCUGAUCCAGCAAUGCCGCGUGUGUGAAGAAGGCCUUCGGGUUGUAAAGCACUUUUGUCCGGAAAGAAAUCCUUGGCUCUAAUACAGUCGGGGGAUGACGGUACCGGAAGAAUAAGCACCGGCUAACUACGUG